rnacentral:rRNA from 1 species
GGCUUAGAGUUUGAUCCUGGCUCAGAUUGAACGCUGGCGGCAGGCCUAACACAUGCAAGUCGAGCGGAUGAAAGGAGCUUGCUCCUGGAUUCAGCGGCGGACGGGUGAGUAAUGCCUAGGAAUCUGCCUGGUAGUGGGGGACAACGUUUCGAAAGGAACGCUAAUACCGCAUACGUCCUACGGGAGAAAGCAGGGGACCUUCGGGCCUUGCGCUAUCAGAUGAGCCUAGGUCGGAUUAGCUAGUUGGUGAGGUAAUGGCUCACCAAGGCGACGAUCCGUAACUGGUCUGAGAGGAUGAUCAGUCACACUGGAACUGAGACACGGUCCAGACUCCUACGGGAGGCAGCAGUGGGGAAUAUUGGACAAUGGGCGAAAGCCUGAUCCAGCCAUGCCGCGUGUGUGAAGAAGGUCUUCGGAUUGUAAAGCACUUUAAGUUGGGAGGAAGGGUUGUAGAUUAAUACUCUGCAAUUUUGACGUUACCGACAGAAUAAGCACCGGCUAACUCUGUGCCAGCAGCCGCGGUAAUACAGAGGGUGCAAGCGUUAAUUGGAAUUACUGGGCGUAAAGCGCGGGUAGGUGGUUUGUUAAGUUGGAUGUGAAAUCCCCGGGCUCAACCUGGGAACUGCAUCCAAAACUGGCAAGUUAGAGUAUGGUAGAGGGUGGUGGAAUUUCCUGUGUAGCGGUGAAAUGCGUAGAUAUAGGAAGGAACACCAGUGGCGAAGGCGACCACCUGGACUGAUACUGACA